rnacentral:rRNA from 1 species
CAGCAGCCGCGGUAAUACGUAGGGGGCGAGCGUUACCCGGAUUCACUGGGCGUAAAGGGGGUGUAGGCGGCUCGGUAAGUCGGGUGUGAAAUCCCACGGCUCAACCGUGGAAUUGCGCCCGAAACUGCCGAGCUUGGGGCCGGUAGAGGGAGACGGAACUGCCGGUGUAGGGGUGAAAUCCGUAGAUAUCGGCAGGAACGCCGGUGGGGAAGCCGGUCUCCUGGGCCGCGCCCGACGCUGAGGCCCGAAAGCUAGGGGAGCAAACCGGAUUAGAUACCCGGGUAGUCCUAGCCGUAAACGAUGCCCACUAGGUGUGGGGGAGUAUUGCCUCCGUGCUGUAGCUAACGCGUUAAGUGGGCCGCCUGGGGAGUACGCCCGCAAGGGUGAAACUUAAAGGAAUUGGCGGG